rnacentral:lncRNA from 1 species
GGCAACGGCCUAGAAAACCACCCCCCACUUCUCCCUCCGCUCAGGUGGCUGGGAGGACACUCAAAGUCGGGCCUCACCUGGGGGCACCUCUGGCCUCCACGCCUCCUCCAGAGGAUGGCCCCCCCGCCUGCCUGGCUGCCCUGGGAGGAGGCAACUGAAACAAGCUCAGAGAGCUGCGAGAACCCGGCCAGGUCUCCACGCGGGAAACGGGACAAGCCUGAUGCAACCUCAGACCCCGACUUCAAAGCCCAGCUCUUUGGCCAGCGCCACAGGCCGGGCUUCCAGAGGCCACGUGCUGUGGGCUCCCCAGCCCCACCUGCCCAGAUCACCAGCCGGCUUAUCAGCACGGGGGAUGAAUUACAUUCUCAAAUAACCAGGCAGGAGACCUUCUGUAGGGUAGCUGGGAAAAUAGAAUAAAGACCCUAAUCUUAAAGUGAGUGUAUUUUCAGACUUGCUCCUUCCUCCCCCAAACCUGGGC